CGGGGGAGGGGGAUUUCGCGCUCUCUCUCUUUUUUUUAAAUUUAGGCCUUUAUAAUUGUAUAUUGCUGAUAAAUACAAGCGUAUGGGGACUCUCUCUAUUAAACCCAGGACUCCGACGAAAUUGCACGGAAUUCAUGGUCACGGGACCGGUCUCCGCCAAUCGCUCGUCUGGGCCUGGUGGAAAACACAGGCAUUAUUUGCUUUAAUUGAUUCAAAAACUCCAGAGGACCACGACCUGGAUGUCAUAAGGCUUCCUCCUCUAUCCCCAUUCCUACAUCAGUACCCCACACUCUCCCCAAUGGCUCUCUUUUCCCAGAAGAGCCAGAAGAACCGCUUCCUUCCCUUUAGAGACUGUGUGGUGGUGGGAAACAACCACAUUUAAGGGAGACAUGGAGGCAGUUAAAUAUGCUUUCUUUAUGUGGCUAUCAAGAGCCUCUUACCCCACCACCACCUCAGCCCCCAAAAGAAACAAAGCUCAUUUGGGAGGAAGUGGGAUUAGAAAGAAGCUUCCACACCUUGGGGAAAGGUCAGUAAUAAGGUGAAAAAUCCCAAAGGAGAUGGAGGAAGACCAGAACUCACCAGCCACAGCAGCCCACCCACCCUCUGAAAGCUUAAUUCACACUUAAGAAAUGAAGGAGCUGGCACACAGCAGGGAGAGAGAUGCCAAGGGCACUCUGGGGCGUGGACUUACCUCUCCAGCUCUGAGCUCUGAGCUCUAUUCUGCUCAGUAUUUACGAGCAGUUUCUUAGGUCCACUUGCCUUCCUGUUGGGGUCAUCUGUACUCACACUGUGACACCCUAACCCUGGCAAUAGGAGGGUCUAAGAAGGUCAAAGGUGACAGAUGUAUUCACAGUCCCCAGGUGUCCCUAUGUUUAUAUCCAGGGCACCAAGGUAGCCACCCACUAAACUUUCAAAGCUAAAACCAAUGCACAGUCUCCCUCUGGACAAAGGGAUUUCCCCCUCUAUAUUUGCCUCUGGGCUACUUUUUAAAUCCCUGGUAAGAAAAAAUUUCCUAAAGAUGGUGAGGGAGGAGGGGAUAUUGAUCACCACUGAGAUUAUAUUCUGCUUUUGGCCACCAGAGAAGGGGGGGGGAUGUAAUGUAUUUAAUUGUGAGGAGCCUGUGGUAGGCUCAACUUUAGAAUAUUGUGAUUUACUAGAGGAAGGAGGCAAAACAAAAACAAAAACAAAAACCUCAGAACCACACAAGCAAGUCGGUGGGAAACUAGGCCUCAAAGCUGAAAAUGAAAAGUCGACCUGGGGAAGAUUUUUAAAUAAGUAGGUCAGAGGGACCAAGAGGGGAUGAGGCGAUCAAUCUUAGCCCCCUGACAGCUCCCUCGAUUGCAUCAAAGAAUUUGGCUCUUUGGGAAAGCAGAGGGAACAGCCUAAAUUCCACGUCCCUUAAAAAGGCCUGAGGGAGGGAAUAGACAGAGAGAAAGGUGAUUCUGGGAGAUCUAGGAAACAGAUGGGAAAUGGGGACAGAGGGAAGGCGCUAACUUGGGUGGAAAGUUUGCCCGGAGAACUCCCACGGCUCUGGCCCCCCCUCCCCCUCUUCGCUCUCUGCCGCCUUGCCUAGAGGAGAAGGCUGGUUAGCAGAGAAAUGGCAGCUCAGCGGAGAGCUGGAACUAGAAACUUUCUGUCAGUGUAACGUCCGCGUGGGUGGUGCUUUAGAUGAGUGCCUGGAGUCUGGAAAACAGAAAGACCCAAUGAUGGUUGGGCUUCGGGUCACGUGACAGCCUCUUUGUAGCUCCGGAAGAGAACAUGAAGUUUAGGUUGCUUGGAGGAAGCAGAGACUGAAAGGGAGAACAAAAAAAUAAUAAUCAUCAAGAUUUGGGGGAAAUUACCCACAGAGAUGCAAGGUAAGUUGAUUGCUUGAUGAUAGCCAAGCCAUUAAAGUUUUGAAUGUGCUUCUUUGCCCUGCUUGCCUAUCCUGGCUCUCUCUGCCCGACUCCACUUCACCUCUCCACUGUGAAAUUCCAACUUGGUAGUGCGGGAACCCUGGGAACCCUGGGAUUGAUGUGGUCCGUCUCCAACCUGCUGUGGAUUCCUUUCCAAGGGUGUUGGCAGGCAGAUGGAACCAGGCGUGGAGGACUUAAAAGACAGCCCCUCGGGCCUGGGAGUAGGGAAGGCACCCCAGGCCUGUUCUGUUUCUGGAAACCUGGCAACAACCCCAACACACACCUCUUUCAGGACUCCAAACCGCGCCCAUCCCCCAGUUCCACCGUCUCCCUGGCCCUUAACCUCACCCCCUUCCCCUGCCCUCCCCAUCCCGCCCCUCACAUCACAGGUGUGUCAGUUUGGGCGCUUCUUGGAUUCUACCCUGAGGCGGUGCGUGGUGAGAGGAGAGAUCUUGAUCUGGCGCUCGCUGAGGUUCAGCAGAUUGGCCAUCUCGACCCGGCGCGGCCGGCACAAGUAACGGUUGAAGUGGA